rnacentral:rRNA from 1 species
AAGUCAGUUGUGAAAGCUCCCGGCUAAACUGGGAGAGGUCGACUGAGACUGGCUGUCUGGAGUGCGGGAGAGGGGUGUGGAAUUCCGGGUGUAGUGGUGAAAUGCGUAGAGAUCCGGAGGAACACCAGUGGCGAAGGCGGCACCCUGGCCCGCAACUGACGCUGAGACGCGAAAGCAUGGGGAGCGAACGGGAUUAGAAACCCCGGUAGUCCAUGCCGUAAACGAUGCAUACUAGGUGUUCGUGGGGUACAGCCCUGGGAGUGCCGAAGCCAACGCGCUAAGUAUGCCGCCUGAGGAGUACGGUCGCAAGGCUAAAACUCAAAGGAAUUGACGGGGCCCCGCACAAGCAGCGGAGCGUGUGGUUUAAUUCGAGGCUACACGAAGAACCUUACCUGGGUUUGACAUCGCGGUGGUAGGGAACCGAAAGGGAACCGACCUACGGGAGCCGUGACAGGUGCUGCAUGGCUGUCGUCAGCUCGUGCCGUGAGGUGUUCGGUUAAGUCCGCAAACGAGCGCAACCCUCGGGUCUAGUUACAAGUGUCUAGACCGACUGCCCGUGACAAACGGGAGGAAGGUGGGGAUGACGUCAAGUCAGCAUGGCCUUGAUAUCCAGGGCUACACACACGCUACAAUGGGCGGUACAAUGGGUCGCGAAGCCGCGAGGUGGAGCCAAUCCUGAAAAGCCGUUCGUAGUUCGGAUUGCAGGCUGCAACUCGCCUGCAUGAAGUCGGAGUUGCUAGUAACCGCAGGUCAGCUAUACUGCGGUGAAUACGUUCCCGGGGCUUG